CGACCGGCGCACGGGUGAGUAACACGUAUGGAACCUGCCCUAUGCAGGGGGAUAAGCGGAAGAAAUUCCGUCUAAUACCGCAUAACACCAUUUGGAGACAUCUCCAGGGGGUCAAAGGAGGCGACUCCGGCAUAGGAUGGCCAUGCGUCGCAUUAGCUAGUCGGCGGGGUAACGGCCCACCGAGGUGACGAUGCGUAGGGGUUCUGAGAGGAAGGUCCCCCACACUGGUACUGAGACACGGACCAGACUCCUACGGGAGGCAGCAG
rnacentral:rRNA from 1 species